rnacentral:rRNA from 1 species
CAGCAGCCGCGGUAACACGUAGGGUGCAAGCGUUAAUCGGAAUUACUGGGCGUAAAGCGUGCGCAGGCGGUUUUGUAAGACAGAGGUGAAAUCCCCGGGCUCAACCUGGGAACUGCCUUUGUGACUGCAAGGCUAGAGUACGGCAGAGGGGGAUGGAAUUCCGCGUGUAGCAGUGAAAUGCGUAGAUAUGCGGAGGAACACCGAUGGCGAAGGCAAUCCCCUGGGCCUGUACUGACGCUCAUGCACGAAAGCGUGGGGAGCAAACAGGAUUAGAUACCCGAGUAGUCCCUGUCUCUUAUAA